UACAGAGGGGGCGAGCGUUGUUCGGAAUUACUGGGCGUAAAGGGCGCGUAGGCGGCCCGCUAAGUCGAACGUGAAAUCCCCAGGCUCAACCUGGGAACUGCGUCCGAUACUGGUAGGCUUGAAUCCGGGAGAGGGAUGUGGAAUUCCAGGUGUAGCGGUGAAAUGCGUAGAUAUCUGGAGGAACACCGGUGGCGAAGGCGGCAUCCUGGACCGGUAUUGACGCUGAGGCGCGAAAGCUAGGGGAGCAAACGGG
rnacentral:rRNA from 1 species